rnacentral:rRNA from 1 species
UACGUAGGGUGCAAGCGUUAAUCGGAAUUACUGGGCGUAAAGCGUGCGCAGGCGGCUGUGCAAGACCGAUGUGAAAUCCCCGGGCUUAACCUGGGAAUGGCAUUGGUGACUGUACGGCUAGAGUGUGUCAGAGGGGGGUAGAAUUCCACGUGUAGCAGUGAAAUGCGUAGAGAUGUGGAGGAAUACCGAUGGCGAAGGCAGCCCCCUGGGAUAACACUGACGCUCAUGCACGAAAGCGUGGGGAGCAAACAGG